CGGACGGGUGAGUAAUGUCUGGGAAACUGCCUGAUGGAGGGGGAUAACUACUGGAAACGGUAGCUAAUAUCGCAUAACGUCGCAAGACCAAAGAGGGGGACCUUAGGGCCUCUUGCCAUCGGAUGUGCCCAGAUGGGAUUAGCUAGUAGGUGGGGUAAAGGCUCACCUAGGCGACGAUCCCUAGCUGGUCUGAGAGGAUGACCAGCCACACUGGAACUGAGACACGGUCCAG
rnacentral:rRNA from 1 species